rnacentral:pre_miRNA from 1 species
UCUAUACUUUCUCCGUCCGCAAAAGCUUGUUCCAAACUUGUCCCUCGAAUGGAUGUAUCUAGCACUAACUUGAUGCUAGAUACAUCCAUUUAAAGGACGAGUUUUUUCGGAUGGAGGAGUAUCAU